CAAUAGCGUAUAUUAAAGUUGUUGCAGUUAAAAAGCUCGUAGUUGAAUUUCUGGCGGGCGCGCCGGUCUUCCAAGUGUUGUACUGGGCGCAGUCCGCCAUCCUUGUGGAGAGGGCUCGCAUUGGGUUGCGUGUCGGAUCUGCAUCAUUUACUGUGAAAAAAUUAGAGUGUUUAAAGCAGGCUGUCGCUUGAAUACAUUAGCAUGGAAUAAUAAGAUAGGACUUCGGUCUAUUUUGUUGGUUGCGAACCGAGGUAAUGAUUAAUAGGGAUAGUUGGGGGUAUUCAUAUUUAAUUGUCAGAGGUGAAAUUCUUGGAUUUAUGAAAGAUGAACAACUGCGAAAGCAUUUACCAAGGAUGUUUUCAUUAA
rnacentral:rRNA from 1 species